AUACGGAGGAUCCGAGCGUUAUCCGGAUUUAUUGGGUUUAAAGGGAGCGUAGGCGGACGCUUAAGUCAGUUGUGAAAGUUUGCGGCUCAACCGUAAAAUUGCAGUUGUUACUGGGUGUCUUGAGUACAGUAGAGGCAGGCGGGAGUUGUGGGGUUGCGGGGGAAUGCUUAGAUAUCACGAAGAACUCCGAUUGCGAAGGCAGCCUGCUGGACUGUAACUGACGCUGAUGCUCGAAAGUGUGGGUAUCAAACAGGAUUAGAUACCCUGGUAGUCCACACAGUAAACGAUGAAUACUCGCUGUUUGCGAUAUACAGUAAGCGGCCAAGCGAAAGCGUUAAGUAUUCCACCUGGGGAGUACGCCGGCAACGGUGAAACUCAAAUGAAUUGGCGGGG
rnacentral:rRNA from 1 species